CUCUCAUGCUCUCUCUCAAAUAAAUAAAUAAAAUCUUUAAAAAAUAUUUUGCCUUCCUCUCACAUUUUUCACAACUCACAUUCGUACAGCAGCUCAGACAGGUGCAGGGCCCCAUAAACUUAGGUAACACAAGGACGCACUGGACAGCACGCCCAGUCAGCUUAUUGUUUGCCCGUCUCAGGGCCCUUUCACAGCCUUUCCUGACAUAUCUUCCCCAUUGGGGGUGUAACUAUGGCAAAGAAAGAUGAUUCUUGGGUCAUAGAAAAAGGCUGGUCCCAUUAGGGUUGCAGGUGCAGCAAGAGUGUUAACCAUAUGAGUCACCUUGAGUUUGCUCUUGAACAACUGCUGAGGUCACAAAUCAACUUCUGUCCUGAAGUUUUCACGCAGAAUCUCGGACUGGGCGAGUCUGAGAGUGGGGAGGUUCAUAUUGAGAUCCAUUGAAGGCCUUCCGCUGACUGACAGAGGCGUGUCGUCAGGCUCACCACAUCAGAGAACACACAGCAUGAGGGACAGAGUGGGAGCCCUGGGCACCUGCCUCAGGAAGGUGAAGGGGGCGGGAGAGGACUCAGACAGGCUGCUGUAUGGACUUGAAAGAGCACAGGAGGAGAGCCUUUGCCUGACAGAUACACCUUCCUCCUCCUGUGUGCAAAUACCUGCGGUUGAUGUGGAUGGAAAUUCACAAAAGGAGGAGUUGUCAAUGGAAAUGAAAAAUGCUCCGAGCGAGGCCAGCCUCUUGCUUCACAGCAGCAACAAAGUGCUUCUGUGUCUGAAAGAAUCAUUAAGAAGAAAUUCAGCUUCCGUGGUGGGUCAGAGCAAGACUGUGCAUGUGUUCUGUGCUCUUGCAGAAGAGCGUUUUUCUGGGGUGUCCUGCGGAGUGGGGGAUGCUCUGGUGAGGCACUGGCUGGGAGGAGGGCCCAGGGCCACCGACAGCCAUGGAGGAUGGUGCCGCCCAGGAGAGCCUUGGGCGUCAGGACUACCGUGCUCUCAGAAGCGAUCAGAAAUGGGGAUCUCUGAGGAGGAACCGCCAAGUGCUCUUUUAGAGGGGCUAGGCUUUGAGUUGGAACUGUCUGGCCUGCAUUUCGUCCUGUCUACACUGCUGCAUGCAUGCCCCAAAGUUUUCCUGAAUGAUGAGACAAAAUGUGUUUUCCUUGGCCACCCAGAGCCCCUGUUUUCAGAGCAAACGGUAGAAUACAAGAAAAUGCUUUCAAGUAUAAAAAGUACCUCAAACGAUCUGCAAAUAAUACUGGGGUUACUGGCUCUACCAGCUUUUGAAGUAGCAAAUCCGUUACGCCAUAGUUAAGGUACAAGCCGAACAAUAAAAAUAGUGAGAUUAAUUUUAAAAGUUGUCUUAGAAUGAUUUCUUUCACACUGAGUCUGGAUGCGCACGGGGCAGCCGUGAAGUUCCUGCUUCAGUUUGUAUGAUCAGACAAACUUUAAGUGGAAUUUAAACUCAUGGGAAGUUGGUUGAUGUGACAGGAGAGUUUUGAACAUGUUUUAACCCAUGCUUGAAAGACAUUCAGUAUUGGGAUACCAUUUCAAGGAGAACAUUCAUAGAUCCUAUAUAAAUGUCAGGUUACAACGUAAAGAUGUAAUAACAUUCUUUAUCUUCAACGCUCAUUCUAAAGGGCUACCGUCCCAGAUACUGUCUCCUCAGACUGAACAUCGGGUGAAAGUGGCCGUUUGUUAAUAUCAGCCCUUCCCUACCUGCUCUUGGCCCUGCCACCAUUUCUGCAUUCUGUAGAAUAAUUUGGGUAUGCAGCAAAGUUUUAUUUUUCUCAAAUCCCUUUCCUUCCCCUUGAAAUGCAGUUUAAAUGGAGGCCCUACGGUGAAAGUUGCAAUAUUCAGUGUCCUUUUAGUAUAAUCCUUAAACUAGGAGCCCUGGCAGUGUCGCCUGAAAUAGAAAUGACCUUGAGACCAUCUGCGGUAGCUCCGUUAGGGGGAGACAGACCUUGUACUGCCCCGGUAGAAAGUUUCCAGUUUCCAGGAGCGGAGGUGUCUCUUACACUAACAUUUUUUCUGAGGUAACCCCUCUGGUGGUUGAGAACUCUGGUAAAGGUCCCUUCAGAGUGUGAGUUUUUCAGGAGUCCCAAAGUAAGACUUAACCAGUUUCGGGGUUACUGGUUGCCUCUCUCCGUUUGUGUGCUAGCUUGCUAUGCCGUGUGCUAUUUUAGUGUUUGGGGGAAAAUGAAAAAUAAAACAUGUUAUUUAGCAUAAUAAAUGUCUUCUUUUACAUGUGCA